rnacentral:lncRNA from 1 species
CUUUCUUUCUUUCUUUCUUUCUUUUUUUCUUUCAUUCAUUCAUUCAUUCAUUCUUUCUUUCUUAAUCAUAGAGAAUUUUCUGGUUAAAAUAAACCUUGGUAGGCUUUAGUUUACUUCUCUGAAAAGUAAUCAUAGAAUUACAUACCAAUCUCGUGGAGUUGUGACAGGUUACUACUAUAGUCAAGUAAUAGUCAUAUGAAUUAAAGGAUCAUAAAACAUUUAAAAUAUGAGCUCUCAUCUUAUAGAUUGGAGGCAAAGUCUUUUAUUGUAGAAAUAGGGCACAAAUUAAAAUUUGUCAUUCCUGUUUGUAACCGUAUCAACGAACAUUUAUUUUCAAGAAUAAUAAAUAUAAAUUUUUAGGGAAAAAGUAACAUAGCAUAAGCAAAACCAAAUGCCAUUAAUGCAAAGACACUUCAGCAUACUUACCUGGCAAAUGGAUUCGUGAAAAUAUAUAAGAAUUAAGAAAGGAAAUCCUUUAGGAAAUGAGUAAAACUACAAACAAGACUUUCAGAAGCUCAGCAUUAUUAACAACUGAGGUCCAUAAAUGUAAGCAUGAUAACCAUAUCAUUGCUGUUUCUGCAGCAUAGAAAUGUGAAAACAUGGGAUACUAAGUGUUGGAAAGGCUUAGAAAAGAAACUCUCAUAUGCUCUUGCUGUAUAAAUUAGCAGACAACUGAUAUUGACCUCCUGUGCUCAAAUGAUCCUUCUGUCUCUGACUCUUUAAGUGGUUUUCCUACCAGAAAAAAAAAUGUAAAGCUUAGAAAAUCCUGCAGAAGCUAGUAUGCUGACUGGAAACCUAUAGCUUGCCUGUUUCCCUGAGCGGGUACAAAUCUCUACAGGCUCACAUUUUAAUGAAAUAAGAUUAUUCCCUUACUAUGUCCAAGAUAACGUAAGUUAUUUGAAAAUGAAAGUGGAUUCUCCCUUUGUCCUUACUCAACUAAGCUCUAGAGGUUAGAGGCAUUUCAUGCCGAAUUCACUGAAAGUCAGGUAGACUCUCAGGCAGUUACUGCCCCUCUCUGGGCUGUAGAUUGCUUUGUUUUAAUCUAUAUACUAUGAGAAGUUAAGUUGAAUUAGAAGAUUGGGUACUAAAAGUGUUUGAUGUUGUGCUUUAAAUUGUUAUUAUCUUAGC